UAGGGAAUAUUGGACAAUGGGGGCAACCCUGAUCCAGCCAUGCCGCGUGAGUGAUGAAGGCCUUAGGGUUGUAAAGCUCUUUCGUCAGGGAAGAUAAUGACGGUAACCGGAGAAGAAGCCCCGGCUAACUUCGUGCCAGCAGCCGCGGUAAUACGAAGGGGGCUAGCGUUGUUCGGAAUUACUGGGCGUAAAGCGCACGUAGGCGGACUAUUAAGUCAGGGGUGAAAUCCCGGGGCUCAACCCCGGAACUGCCUUUGAUACUGGUAGUCUCGAGUCCGGAAGAGGUGAGUGGAAUUCCGAGUGUAGAGGUGAAAUUCGUAGAUAUUCGGAGGAACACCAGUGGCGAAGGCGGCUCACUGGUCCGGUACUGACGCUGAGGUGCGAAAGCGUGGGGAGCAAACA
rnacentral:rRNA from 1 species